AACGUAGGUUCCGAGCGUUAUCCGGAUUUACUGGGCGUAAAGCGCGUUCAGGCGGUUUGGCAAGUCGGGCAUGAAAUCUCUCGGCUCAACCGGGAGAGGUUGUCCGAUACUUCCAGACUUGAGGGCAGUAGAGGGUGGUGGAAUUCCGGGUGUAGUGGUGAAAUGCGUAGAUAUCCGGAGGAACACCAGUGGCGAAGGCGGCCAGCUGGGCCGACCCUGACACUGAGGCGCGAAGGCGUGGGGAGCGAACGGG
rnacentral:rRNA from 1 species